GACGAACGCUGGCGGCGUGCUUAACACAUGCAAGUCGAACGGAAAGGCCCUGCUUUUGUGGGGUGCUCGAGUGGCGAACGGGUGAGUAACACGUGAGUAACCUGCCCUUGACUUUGUGAUAACUUCAGGAAACUGGGGCUAAUACCGGAUAGGAGCUCCUGCUGCAUAGUGGGGGUUGGAAAGUUUCGGCGGUUGGGGAUGGACUCGCGGCUUAUCAGCUUGUUGGUGGGGUAGUGGCUUACCAAGGCUUUGACGGGUAGCCGGCCUGAGAGGGUGACCGGCCACAUUGGGACUGAGAUACGGCCCAGACUCCUACGGGAGGCAGCAGUGGGGAAUAUUGCACAAUGGGCGGAAGCCUGAUGCAGCAACGCCGCGUGCGGGAUGACGGCCUUCGGGUUGUAAACCGCUUUCGCCUGUGACGAAGAGUGAGUGACGGUAAUGGGUAAAGAAGCACCGGCUAACUACGUG
rnacentral:rRNA from 1 species